GGUUUGCUCUAAUCCAGUUAGAGAGGGUGAAUCCUUUAUCAUUUCUGAUUGGACUGUGGUAAAAUUUCCACUUCACUGCUUGAGCUUCUAAAUCCAAUUGAAACAACAACAACAACAAAGUCACAAAGAAUCACUAAAUGAAAAUGUUUUCUCGUCAGAGCAGAAGUGUUUAUUUUCCCUAAAACAAAAGCUUAAUUUCAAAGCCAGGUUUUCUGUUCUAGCAUUUAAUGAGCAACUCAAAGCAUUUCAAAAUACCGUGUCUGAAAGAGUCAAAGCAAAUUGCUGUGUCUUUCUUCCAUUCCCGUCCAGAUUUUUGUUUACAAACAAUGUGUGAAACCUAAUGGAGCAUGAUUUAUGUUUGGUAUUUCUUACAGGCUUUGAACUAGGUGCUUGGGAUCUCAGUUCUCUGCUGUGUGAAAUGAAAUCCCACAAGUGCUUCUUCAGUGCCAGAAAUGGGAGCUUGGAGGAUGUCUGAAAUCCAGACCCAUUUGGAGGUGGAACAAUACAAAUGCAGACAUGGAUCCCCAAAUCCUCAGUGAUGUUCUAGCCAUCCAACUGUUUGAUACCUUCUGACCCCUAGCACCUGACGAUGCUCAACAUCCAGGAUGCUGCAUUCCAGAGGGUUUAUCUCCUAUUUUCCUCUGUUCCAAACUGUACUGAGCAGCAGCAGAGCUUGGAACCUGGAGCAAGAACUGUCGCUUUGAUAAUAAAGCUGAGUUAUCAGGAGGAGAGAUUUGUGUUCUGCACGGAAUGUCUGAUGUGGUGAUUUAUUUCUGUUCUCCCCACAGCGUCUUACAGAUUGCUAUCAGAAGCCAUUCAAAUAAAUAAAGAAGUAAAUAAAUAAACA
rnacentral:lncRNA from 1 species